AACGAACGCUGGCGGCAUGCCUAACACAUGCAAGUCGAACGAGACCUUCGGGUCUAUUGGCGCACGGGUGCGUAACGCGUGGGAACCUGCCCUUAGGUUCGGAAUAACUCCCCGACAGGGGUGCUAAUACCGGAUAAUGUCUUCGGACCAAAGAUUUAUCGCCUUUGGAUGGGCCCGCGUUGGAUUAGCUAGUUGGUAGGGUAAAAGCCUACCAAGGCGACGAUCCAUAGCUGGUCUGAGAGGAUGAUCAGCCACACUGGGACUGAGACACGGCCCAGACUCCUACGGGAGGCAGCAGUGGGGAAUAUUGGACAAUGGGCGAAAGCCUGAUCCAGCAAUGCCGCGUGAGUGAUGAAGGCCUUAGGGUUGUAAAGCUCUUUUACCCGGGAUGAUAAUGACAGUACCGGGAGAAUAAGCCCCGGCUAACUACGUG
rnacentral:rRNA from 1 species